rnacentral:rRNA from 1 species
AGAGUUUGAUCCUGGCUCAGGAUGAACGCUAGCGGCAGGCCUAAUACAUGCAAGUCGAACGGCAGCACGGUGUAGCAAUACAUUGGUGGCGAGUGGCGCACGGGUGCAUAACACGUAUGUAAUUUGCCCAUAACUGGGAGAUAGCCUUCCGAAAGGAAGAUUAAUACCCCAUAACCCAGCGAGGUGGCAUCACUUUUCUGGUAAAGCUCCGGCGGUUAUGGAUAAGCAUGCGUCCGAUUAGCUAGUUGGCGAGGUAAAAGCUCACCAAGGCAACGAUCGGUAGGGGGUCUGAGAGGAUGAUCCCCCACACGGGUACUGAGACACGGACCCGACUCCUACGGGAGGCAGCAGUAAGGAAUAUUGGACAAUGGAGGCAACUCUGAUCCAGCCAUGCCGCGUGAAGGAUGAAGGCGCUACGCGUUGUAAACUUCUUUUCUACUAGAAAAAACAUUUGGUUUCGUACCGAAUCUGAUUGUACAGUAGGAAUAAGCAUCGGCUAACUUCGUGCCAGCAGCCCGCGGUAAUACGAAGGAUGCAAGCGUUAUCCGGAUUUACUGGGUUUAAAGGGUGUGCAGGUGGGAUAAUAAGUCAGUGGUGAAAGCCCCCGACUCAAUCGGGGAACUGCCAUCGAUACUGUUAUUCUUGAGUGUAGUUGAGGCGGGCGGAAUAUGACAUGGUAGCGGUGAAAUGCGUA